ACAUCAACCUCCUGCUGUCCAUGUAUUUCUUCGUGCUGGGAAUCCUGGCCCUGUCCCACACCAUCAGCCCCUUCAUGAAUAAGUUUUUUCCAGCCAGCUUUCCAAAUCGACAGUACCAGCUGCUCUUCACACAGGGUUCUGGGGAAAACAAGGAAGGGGCUGACAGGUGGGAGGGGUAGCCCUGCCUCAAGGAGUGGACUUACCUGGCCUCUCUGCUCAGAGAUCAUCAAUUACGAAUUUGACACCAAGGACCUGGUGUGCCUGGGCCUGAGCAGCAUCGUUGGCGUCUGGUACCUGCUGAGGAAGCACUGGAUUGCCAACAACCUUUUUGGCCUGGCCUUCUCCCUUAAUGGAGUAGAGCUCCUGCACCUCAACAAUGUCAGCACUGGCUGCAUCCUGCUGGGCGGACUCUUCAUCUACGAUGUCUUCUGGGUAUUUGGCACCAAUGUGAUGGUGACAGUGGCCAAGUCCUUCGAGGCACCAAUAAAAUUGGUGUUUCCCCAGGAUCUGCUGGAGAAAGGCCUCGAAGCAAACAACUUUGCCAUGCUGGGACUUGGAGAUGUCGUCAUUCCAGGGAUCUUCAUUGCCUUGCUGCUGCGCUUUGACAUCAGCUUGAAGAAGAAUACCCACACCUACUUCUACACCAGCUUUGCAGCCUACAUCUUCGGCCUGGGCCUUACCAUCUUCAUCAUGCACAUCUUCAAGCAUGCUCAGCCUGCCCUCCUAUACCUGGUCCCCGCCUGCAUCGGUUUUCCUGUCCUGGUGGCGCUGGCCAAGGGAGAAGUGACAGAGAUGUUCAGUUAUGAGGAGUCAAAUCCUAAGGAUCCAGCGGCAGUGACAGAAUCCAAAGAGGGAACAGAGGCAUCAGCAUCGAAGGGGCUGGAGAAGAAAGAGAAAUGAUGCGGCUGGUGCCCGAGCCUCUCAGGGCCAGACCAGACAGAUGGGGGCUGGGCCCACACAGGCGUGCACCGGUAGAGGGCACAGGAGGCCAAGGGCAGCUCCAGGACAGGGCAGGGGGCAGCAGGAUACCUCCAGCCAGGCCUCUGUGGCUUCUGUUUCCUUCUCCCUUUCUUGGCCCUCCUCUGCUCCUCCCCACACCCUGCAGGCAAAAGAAACCCCCAGCUUCCCCCCUCCCCAGGAGCCAGGUGGGAAAAGUGGGUGUGAUUUUUAGAUUUUGUAUUGUGGACUGAUUUUGCCUCACAUUAAAAACUCAUCCCAUGGCCAGGGCGGGCCACUGUGCUCCUGGAA
rnacentral:sRNA from 1 species